AAAGAAGCACUAUGGUUGCUGUGCAAGCAUAAGCACAUGGGUGAAAGGCUGCCCUGCCAUCAAGUCAGAUCAAGCCAGAAACACAUACUGUCUAUGUACCCACCAACAAAGCCUGAUUACUGGGAUCAAUUAAGCAACAAGUUAUAAGGAUGAGAGUGAGGGAGAGAAAUGGAGAGAUCACAUGCAGGUGGACCUAUCUGGAGACCAGGGGCUCUAACCAAGGGCCUCCCGCUUGGCUAUACCAGGACAGAAAUAAAUUGAGAGACGGAGGAGGAGAUAAGAAUGAGAGACACCUGCAACACUGCUUUACUGGUAGUGAAGCUUCCCCU